AUCUCUUCUCACUACCAUCCGUCGCCGCUCGCUCAUUGUUUUCUCCCGAAGACGUUCGCAACCGCCAUCCGUCGCCGUUGUCUGCAACCACCAUCCGUUUCCGCUCUCUGCAACCGCCAUCCGCCCCAGCUACAGCCACUGUCGCUGUCGUCCGCCCCAGCCACAGCCGCUAUCGCUGCCGUCCGCCAUAGCCACAUCCACGACCACAUCUUCCAGUCAGUGCUCCUCAGCAGUUGCCAGCCACCGUCCGCCAUAGCCACAUCCGCGACCACAUCUUCCAGCAGUUGCCUUCCACCUACAUUAGAUCAAGAGAGAGAUAGGAUAUCAUCUUUGCCGAGGCAGCCACACAAUGUUGGUUUGUGAAUGAACAAGCUGGGAGGGCACUGUUUUUUACUGGUUGAUUGAGUCUCUGGGUGUUCUUCUAUAGCUUAUGGAGCUGCUGAGGAGAUUGGGUUGUUUCACAUUAAUGCCGAUGGAAAGACUCUUCACCUCAAUCCUCAUUCGUGGAACAAGUUGGCAAACCUGCUUUUUCUUGAAUCACCAACUGGUGUUGGUUUCUCAUACUCAAAUACAAUAUCAGAUUUGUAUACUGCAAGCGAUCAAAGAACGGGUUUGCUAUGUCCUGGAGAUCAAUUUUUUGUGCUCUCCUCUGAUGGCUUAUACCAAUACUUGAGCAAUGAGGAAGUUGUUUCCCAUGUUGCAAAUUUUAUGGAGAAAUUUCCUGAUGGAGAUCCUGCACAACACAUAUAUGAUUGAGGGAAUGGAUUUACAUGAAUUGCUUGACAUUCUAACAGGAGACCGAAGGAAGUACCAUGAUAAUGUCACUGUUAUAGUAAUAUCUCUCAAAGGAAGAAUUUAAAAAUCAUUAGGAAAAUACCUUUGAAUUCCUCCAACAGCACAAAUCUCCUGUUGUAGUUUCUAGGAACAUUAUGAAAUUUGAUAAUGAUCUCGCUUCAUGUCUCAAUAGUAUAAAUUUAUAAAUAAACUAUUUUUUUUUUUAAAUUUGCUCCUUGCAAGUUGAACAUACUGUAGUUUCUAUGAACAUUAUGAAAUUUGGUAAUGAUUUGGCUUCAUGUCUCAAUAGUAUAAAUUUAUAAAUAAACUAAUUUUUUUUAAAUACCAGAUAUGAUU